UUUAACUUGGCAGAUUAAAUGCGUUUGAUUUAGGAUCAAUUUAUAACUUUGUUAGUUUCAAAA
rnacentral:tRNA from 1 species